rnacentral:rRNA from 1 species
GACGAACGCUGGCGGCGUGCCUAAUACAUGCAAGUCGUGCGGACCUUUUAAAAGCUUGCUUUUAAAAGGUUAGCGGCGGACGGGUGAGUAACACGUGGGCAACCUGCCUGUAAGACUGGGAUAACGCCGGGAAACCGGGGCUAAUACCAGAUCGUUUUUUCCUCCGCAUGGAGGAAAAAGGAAAGGCGGCUUCGGCUGCCACUUACAGAUGGGCCCGCGGCGCAUUAGCUAGUUGGCGGGGUAACGGCCCACCAAGGCAACGAUGCGUAGCCGGCCUGAGAGGGUGAUCGGCCACAUUGGGACUGAGACACGGCCCAAACUCCUACGGGAGGCAGCAGUAGGGAAUCUUCCGCAAUGGACGAAAGUCUGACGGAGCAACGCCGCGUGAGUGAAGAAGGCCUUCGGGUCGUAAAACUCUGUUGCCGGGGAAGAACAAGUGCCGUUCGAACAGGGCGGCGCCUUGACGGUACCCGGCCAGAAAGCCACGGCUAACUACGUG